GAAGGUAUAGCUCAGUGGUAAAGCACAUGCUUAUCAUGCAUGAGGUCCUAGGUUCAGUCCCCAGUACCUCCA
rfam:Camelus ferus unplaced genomic scaffold scaffold308, whole genome shotgun sequence.